GGGUUAGUAGGUUGGUCAUGCCUCUGGUAUGUACUGGUCUCACUGAUUCCUCCUUCCUGAUGAACCGUAAUGCCAUUAAUUUGGUGUUGCGGGGAAUUUGGACUGUUACUUUGAAAAAAUUAGAGUGUUUAAAGCAAGCUAACGCUUGAAUACAUUAGCAUGGAAUAAUGAAAUAGGAUCGAACGUCCUAUUUUGUUGGUUUCUAGGAUUGACGUA
rnacentral:misc_RNA from 1 species